UGGUAGACGCGCUAGCUUCAGGUGCUAGUACUGGCAACGGUGUGGAGGUUCGAGUCCUCUCCUGGGCACCA
rnacentral:tRNA from 1 species